rnacentral:rRNA from 1 species
UACGAAGGGGGCUAGCGUUGCUCGGAAUCACUGGGCGUAAAGCGCACGUAGGCGGACUCUUAAGUCGGUGGUGAAAUCCUGGAGCUCAACUCCAGAACUGCCUUCGAUACUGGGAGUCUCGAGUCCGGGAGAGGUGAGUGGAACUGCGAGUGUAGAGGUGAAAUUCGUAGAUAUCAGGAGGAACACCAGAGGCGAAAGCGGCGACCUGGACAGCAACUGACACUCAACUACGAAAGCGUGGGGAGCAAACAGG